AUUGGACAUGGAGGCAACUCUGAUCCAGCCAUGCCGCGUGAAGGAAGACGGCCUUAUGGGUUGUAAACUUCUUUUAUACAGGAAGAAACCUUUCCACGUGUGGAAAGUUGACGGUACUGUAAGAAUAAGGAUCGGCUAACUCCGUGCCAGCAGCCGCGGUAAUACGGAGGAUCCAAGCGUUAUCCGGAAUUAUUGGGUUUAAAGGGUCCGCAGGCUGUUUGUUAAGUCAGAGGUGAAAUCCUACCGCUCAACGGUAGAACUGCCUUUGAUACUGGCAAACUUGAGUUAUUGUGAAGUAGUUAGAAUGUGUAGUGUAGCGGUGAAAUGCAUAGAUAUUACACAGAAUACCGAUUGCGAAAGCAGAUUACUAACAAUAUACUGACGCUGAGGGACGAAAGCGUGGGUAGCGAACAGGAUUAGAUACCCUGGUAGUCCACGCCGUAAACGAUGGUCACUAGCUGUUCGAUGUACAUUGGUACGUUGAGUGGCUAAGCGAAAGUGAUAAGUGACCCACCUGGGGAGUACGCUCGCAAGAGUGAAACUCAAAGGAAUUGACGGGGGCCCGCACAAGCGGUGGAGCGUGUGGUUUAAUUCGAUGAUACGCGAGGAACCUUACCAGGACUUAAAUGUAAGUUGCAUGAUUCAGAAAUGAAUCUUUCUUCGGACUACUUACAAGGUGCUGCAUGGUUGUCGUCAGCUCGUGCCGUGAGGUGUCAGGUUAAGUCCUAUAACGAGCGCAACCCCUAUCGUUAGUUGCCAUCAAGUAAAGUUGGGAACUCUAGCGAAACUGCCGGUGCAAACCGAGAGGAAGGUGGGGAUGACGUCAAAUCAUCACGGCCCUUACGUUCUGGGCUACACACGUGCUACAAUGGUCGGUACAGAAAGCAGCCACUAUGCAAAUAGGAGCUAAUCUUUAAAACCGAUCUCAGUUCGGAUCGCAGUCUGCAACUCGACUGCGUGAAGCUGGAAUCGCUAGUAAUCGGAUAUCAGCCAUGAUCCGGUGAAUACGUUCCCGGGCCUUGUACACACCGCCCGUCAAGCCAUGGAAGCUGGGGGUACCUAAAGUCGGUGACCGAAAGGAGCUGCCUAGGGUAAAACUAGUGACUGGGGCUAAGUCGUAACAAGGUAGCCGUACCGGAAGGUGCGGCUGGAAUACCUCCUUUCU
rnacentral:rRNA from 1 species